AUUAUGGCCAAAUACAAAUCUAGUCUUUCUUCUAUAUCGCCGCUCUCAUUUUUCUCGCCUCUCGCGUCUCUCAUCUCACGUCACCUGCAAGUGAAAUUCCAUGUCUCCUUCUAUAUUCAGUAGUCCUAUUUUGACAACAAACUAUUAUCAGCUACAAUGUGGAAACUCGAAGAACUUUUUGGUGAUUUUGGGAUUUUGAAUAACCAACUUUCAAACUGAAUCUUGGGUGCAUUCGAGGCAUUACAUAGUUCAAAAUGAUAAUAAAGGCUGAAAUUCAAGGACUUGGCUCAAAUCGGGAAAGGAAUGUUGAUAAUGACAUAGAUUAGUUGGCCGCCUCUUAUGAUAUUGAAAAGGUUCUGGUCCAAAUUUGAAGAUAACUCUGGUGGAUAAUGCAAGACCAAAGAGCAGUAAAACACCAUGUCUAAUCAUCAGAUGUCCCCUUUUAUUGUCCGGGGGCCUGCAUUUCACAAUGUAGGUACUGAUUUACAGGACGACGCAUCUGCUUAGUAGGAUUUCGCACUUAUCAGCUUUUGGGUGAGCCCCAUCUCUUCCUGGGAUUAGACAUUUAUUGUUUAUUUAUUUUCAUGAUAAGAUGUGCAUUUAAAGGUAUGCUUGGGGGCCUUGUCCCAGCAGGUACGUUUUCAUGUUCAGACUUAUGUUAGAGGUUUCAUAGACUAAACAAGUUAGUUAGGUUAUGUCAGACUUUUAGAGUCGGUUAGCCAUUUUGGCUCAUUUAUGAUAUUAUUCGCAUUCAUGAUUUAAA